ensembl:lncRNA
AAUUAACAGAUUUAUGUAAGCUACUUAAAAGUAGUUGUAAUAGUGGCUGUGUUAACAACAGUAUAAGCGUGAUAUUUGCCAAAGGGCACAUAGGAGGUGUUCAUGACAACCUUACACCAUAGGUCUUUAACCCUGCUCCUGAGGACCCACUGUCCUGCAGAGUUUAGCUACAACCCUAAUCAAACACACCAGAACCAACUAAUUAAGGUCUUCGGGAUCUCUUGAAAAAUAACAGACCAUGUGUGCUAAAGCAAGUUGGAGAUAAAAGUUGCGGACAGUUGGUCCCAAGGAGCAGGGUUGAAGAAUUAACCCAGGGACAGGGUCGACCUAGGCCUUACACCAUAAAAUAACGAAUGGGCCACCUUUUUCAGGUGUUUCUCAAUUCUUGUCCUGGAGAACCACAUAAUUGCACAUUUAGGUGCUUUUCUAGAUUGGAAAUAUUUUGGAUCUGGCACUUCAGGUCUCUGAGCCUAUGCUAAUGAACCGAUUAUAUAAAUUAAAUAAGGGAGACAUCGACAGUACAAUGAGACAUCUCCAAGGCCAAGAUUGAAAACCACUUCCUUGCAAGCCCUUGCCCUUGGAGGAAGCAUAAUACAUUUCUUCUACAUAAUAAGUUUCUCGUCCUGCAGCUCUUACAGCGCUUCCUGGAGGACAGGAGACCCAGUAUGGAGACCAUGAUGCAGGAGGGUCCACACCUGGCAGAGGGGCUUCUGGGAAAUGAUGGUGAAAAGACCAAAGUGCAGCUUGCACAGCUCAAACUCAAGUGGGAGGCUCUUCUUCAGGGCACCAACAGCAGACACAAGAUUCUGGAGGACAUUCUGCCAAGAGCUCAGCUAUUCCAGGAGAGGACAGACAGACUUCAGCAAUGGCUUAUUUCUGUGGAUCAGGACUUAGCUGAGCUCCGCUCCGCAGAGAGAGGGAUGCUCCAUCUACAAGAAGCUGCAGGACAGGCCAAGGCAGUCAUGGAAGAGAUAAAAGCCAAGAGUGUCGACCUGGGGAAACUCCAACAAUGUGCUCAUGAGCUCAUGGAAAAGAUUUCAGGUGGUGUUUCCUCCCAUUUGUUUUUUCUUUGAGUGCACUAAACCAUGCACAAUACCCACAAGAAAACGUUUCAAACAUGUUUUGGUCUUUUGCAUGCUAAUCUAAAGAGGAGGAAACCCAGCUGGUGCAGGAGCGGGUGGACAGUCUGCGUAUCCGGUACUCAGUGAUGAGUCUGGGUAGUGCUGAUGUCCUGCAGAGGCUGGAACAGGCUUUGGAGGCAUCUAGUCGAUGUACCUCUAGUCAAGAAGACCUCCAUCUGUGGCUUGGUCGCAUUGAGAGAGAGUUGCUGGCUCCUGCUGCCCAGGCUGAGACUGGGGAUGCAGUCUUGUGUUCUUCUGAGAGGCAGAAGGUAAGAGACAGAUGGAUAAUUGUCAUAAUGCAGUCACAUACACAGAAUAUCAUUCUGAUCUGGACAACUGUGGUGUAGUGGUUUAAAGAUAAGUACUGGCAACCAGGAAGCUGCUGUUUCCUAAGCAAGGCAUCUAAAUUCAGUUUGCUUGAAAUGUACUUUAAGUAAUUUGGAUAAAAGCAGCUGCUAAAUGCUUACUUACCCAUCACCCUGUUUGCAUUUAAUCAGCUGGAACAGGCUGUUGAGAAAGAGUUGGCUUGGUUUAGAGACACCUCACUGGCACUGAAGGAGCUCAGAGCCAUUAAUCUGGACCCAGAUGUCAUUGCAUCCCAGCUCAAUGAGCAGAAAGUGAGUUUUUGCACAUUCACAAAGACUUUCUCUACAUAUAUACUAGAAAUGCUGUAAAAAAUCUUUGACAUUAUUCAUAUAAUGUAUGUUGUUCUGCAGAUACUUGCUGUAGAGAUUCUGCAGCACAAGUUUAACAUCGAGAAAAUGGUGAAGAUCUUGGAACUCCUGCAGACGUACACUGAGGAUGGGGAGACACUGAGACUCCAGGUAAGCUAACGUUCAUCCUUAAUACCUUUUUAAAUAUUUUGGCAUGAGAACCUAGACAAGAACCAACAUAAUACUAAUGUCUUUUUUUCCCCUACAAGUCAUCCAUAGACACUUUACUGGAGCAGUGU